GUGCCAGAUGACAGGUAGCUUGGGAGAUGUCCAGUUUAUCUAAAUGAAGACUUUUUAGCCUUCACAGAAUGACUGAUUAUUCAUUCAGUGUCAAUCAGAUAGGUUAAAAAAUGUAGAGCUAAUAGUUUCCAUUUGUAAUUCUUGCAUAGAAAUGAAUGUUGUGUAGAAACUGUUACACAACAAACAUUAAGGGCCUUAGGUUACUAGAUAUGAUCUUCUACUUAAACUACUUUUCAUUGAUGUGACCUUGUUUCCAGUGCAAGGUAGUCUGGUAGCAAAAGGGAAGGAAAUGGAAAUCUUCUUUUAUGAAAAUAGAUGGACUAUUCCAGACUGUAUCUGCAGAAAAAUAAAUGAAUGUCUGCAGCAGUUGAAAUCACGGCAAAGCCAUCGCAUUACAGACAGCGGAGCAGAGAAGGCUAUGUUUUCUGGCAAUGAACAUAGAAAGAAGUUUUGCUUGACAGAGAAGGUUUGGGAGCUGGUUUCUUCGUUAUCUACCUGGUACUUAUCAUGAAAGUAAAUAAUAGUUAUAGAAGGCACUCAUUCAUCACUCAUUCAUCUCUGUCAUAACUCAAUUGCUGCAACAGUGGUACCACUUCUACACAUGCUAUGAAAGAACCAGCAUAAUCACUCUUUAAAGUCAUUACAGAUUAAACAAUAACAGUG